UUGCUCCCUUUGUCUCCGAAACAUUCCGCCCACACCCUAACCCCUCAGGGGCUCUCCGCCACUCUCCGAGCUCUUAUCAGGGUAUUUUUUUCCAAAGUAAAUACAUUUCCCUUUCUGGUGCCAACUGUUAAUAAAAUAGCAUUCCUCCGCGUUAUGACACGUGGUGGCACCGAUUUUUAUGUUGGAGCGGCUUCCGCUGUUGGAAUAGACAGCAGGAGAUUUCGUGCAUUUCAGAGCGUGCAGUGCUUCUUAAUAAGACAGUCAAUUCUUGCCAUCUCCCUGCAAUGAAAUGCUGCUCCAGAGGCAUGAUCUGCACGACCUAGAUGAUUUCUACUGUCAGUACGUCAGAGUGGUUUGUCCCAGCAGAUGACAAGAAUGUGACACAGAGGAAAUAGGAAUGGCUGUUUUUUCACCAAGGCUGUUCAGAACUUCAAUCAUCUGAUUUCCAUGACUGUGAAUCUCUUCAUGCACCCAGGACCCCUACCAGCUUCAUAAAAAUCAGGCUCCCAGAGAAGACUGCAGAGCAGUAGGAGCCAAUCUAACUAGCAUGUGUUCAA